UACGUAGGGGGCAAGCGUUGUCCGGAAUCAUUGGGCGUAAAGCGCGUGUAGGCGGCCCGAUAAGUCCGCUGUGAAAGUCCAGGGCUCAACCCUGGAAUGCCGGUGGAUACUGUCAGGCUAGAGUCCGGAAGAGGCGAGUGGAAUUCCUGGUGUAGCGGUGAAAUGCGCAGAUAUCAGGAGGAACACCUAUGGCGAAGGCAGCUCGCUGGGACGGUACUGACGCUGAGACGCGAAAGCGUGGGGAGCGAACAGG
rnacentral:rRNA from 1 species